AACGAACGCUGGCGGCAUGCCUAACACAUGCAAGUCGAACGAGACCUUCGGGUCUAGUGGCGCACGGGUGCGUAACGCGUGGGAACCUGCCCUUAGGUUCGGAAUAACUCUCCGAAAGGGGUGCUAAUACCGGAUAAUGUCUUCGGACCAAAGAUUUAUCGCCUUUGGAUGGGCCCGCGUUGGAUUAGCUAGUUGGUAGGGUAAAAGCCUACCAAGGCGACGAUCCAUAGCUGGUCUGAGAGGAUGAUCAGCCACACUGGGACUGAGACACGGCCCAGACUCCUACGGGAGGCAGCAGUGGGGAAUAUUGGACAGUGGGCGAAAGCCUGAUCCAGCAAUGCCGCGUGAGUGAUGAAGGCCUUAGGGUUGUAAAGCUCUUUUACCCGGGAUGAUAAUGACAGUACCGGGAGAAUAAGCUCCGGCUAACUCCGUG
rnacentral:rRNA from 1 species